rnacentral:rRNA from 1 species
UACGUAGGGCGCAAGCGUUUGUCCGGAAUUAUUGGGCGUAAAGAGCUCGUAGGCGGCUUGUCACGUCGAUUGUGAAAGCCCGAGGCUUAACCUCGGGUCUGCAGUCGAUACGGGCUAGCUAGAGUGUGGUAGGGGAGAUCGGAAUUCCUGGUGUAGCGGUGAAAUGCGCAGAUAUCAGGAGGAACACCCGUGGCGAAGGCGGCUCUCUGGGACGGUACUGACGCUGAGACGCGAAAGCGUGGGGAGCGAACAGG